rnacentral:rRNA from 1 species
AUUGAACGCUAGCGGCAUGCUUUACACAUGCAAGUCGAACGAGUGGCGGACGGGUGAGUAAUAUAUCGGAACGUGCCCCGUAGCGGGGGAUAACUACUCGAAAGAGUGGCUAAUACCGCAUACUCUCUGAUCGGCCGAUAUGGGAUUAGCUAGUUGGUGGGGUAACGGCUCACCAAGGCGACGAUCCGUAGCUGGUUUGAGAGGACGACCAGCAACACUGGAACUGAGACACGGUCAAGACUCCUACGGGAGGCAGCAGUGGGGAAUUUUGGACAAGGGGGGAAACCCUGAUGCAGCCAUGCCGCGUGUAUGAGAAGGCCUUCGGGUUGUAAAGUACUUUUAGCAGGGAAGCGUUAUCUGCAGAAUAAGCACCGGCUAACUACGUGCCAGCCGCCGCGGUAAUAC